rnacentral:lncRNA from 1 species
UUGAAGCAAAGUCAGCAAACUUUGACUUAAGCAUCAUAGCAUAGUGAUUAGGCACAAGGCUCCAGAUGAAGGUUUUUGAGUUUGAAUUGCAGCUUCAACAUUUAAGAAGUAUACAUCCUCAGAUUCACAGUUGUCAAGAUACAGUCUCCAGAGCUGGGUUUCUAUUGCUGGUGCUCUUGGACCUGCCUAUAAAUAAGGGUGCCUUCGAUUCAACUUGGGUAUCAACCAGUUCUCACCUGACAGCUGACCCAGGCGGAGAGAUGAACCAACCACAGUUACUUAAAUAGCAGCACCAUCAUCUGCCAUUGUAUUGUGCCAUAGUUUAUUAACUAGAUCUAUGUUAUAGAGUAUGAGAGCUGCCAGUCUCAUGUAGCUAUUAAGUGCUUGAAAUGUGGCUGGUCUAAUUGAGUAGUGCCGUAUGUGUAAAAUAUACUCUGUAUCUUGAAGACUUAGUACAAAAAAUAAAUGACCUAAUUAAUAUUUCA